UACGUAGGGUGCAAGCGUUAAUCGGAAUUACUGGGCGUAAAGCGUGCGCAGGCGGUUUUGUAAGUCAGAUGUGAAAUCCCCGGGCUUAACCUGGGAACUGCGUUUGAAACUACAAGGCUAGAGUGUGGCAGAGGGGGGUGGAAUUCCACGUGUAGCAGUGAAAUGCGUAGAGAUGUGGAGGAACACCGAUGGCGAAGGCAGCUCCCUGGGUUAACACUGACGCUCAGGCACGAAAGCGUGGGGAGCAAACAGG
rnacentral:rRNA from 1 species